rnacentral:lncRNA from 1 species
AAUUUUAUGAGCCCCUUAAUCUUACUUCCGUAAUAGAAUUGACUUCCUUAAAUAAGCAUUUGUUGUAUUUGGUCCAGACUCAGAAUUUUAAUUAACAGAGCCAACCUUUCAUAACCCGUGCUCAGCCGGGGCAGCUCUGCUGCUUUACGGGGCAUUUGUGGCCAUCGUUGGAUGUCAUAGUGGUUGCAGGGUGCUUUCAGUAUUGCGGGAGGUGGUUCUGAGGAAUGUAAUAUGCUCAGUUGAGGAAAACAGAUCCACGUGCUGGAAGAAGAAAAAGUGCUGCCAAAAAGGUUAACUGCACCAUUUUCUGUAGAGAAAAGUUAUAUUCUUCUCCUACCCUGAAGUGAUGCCUCAAAAUAGAAUGCUGAAACACAACUGCAUUAGAGGCUACCUGGAAGUGGGGGACAAAAAUAGGCAAUUUACUGAUUCCUGGAUAUUUCACAGGCAUUUUGUGCCGGAAUUGCUGUAUAUGGUGGGCUGCUUAUGUCUUUCAUGGUACUUUGACUAAUGAUGUUAAACCAUUAAAUCCCAGUAUCCCAUUUAAUUUUUAAGAAGAUGAUUUUUCCACAAGUGACUGGACAAGUAAAAUUACUUUAUACUACUUUGCUAAGUGAGUGGAUAGAGCAGAUGUCUGUUAGCUUUUUUAUUAGUUUGCUGAAACAAAAUCCUAGAUAUUAGGGAGAAAAAUGAGGGAAACCUGACCAGUUG